rnacentral:lncRNA from 2 species
CAUUCCGCACGAGGAAUAUUUCCGCUCCCCGUCCGCUCGGCGUCGACUCCGAGUCUCCGACUCGUCGUGAGUUCGCCCGCCGCCGCCGCCGCCGCCGCCGCCGUCUCCGUCUCCGCCGCCGCCUCCGCCUGCGCGGAUCCCCAUCCAUCCCGCGAGCGAGCAGGGGCGCCGUCGUUCGUCCUGCCCUCUUCCGCCGCAUCCCGAUCCGCCCCCUGA